rnacentral:lncRNA from 1 species
UCAAUAAAAUUGAAAAUCACUUUUAACAUCACUUACUCGUUAGCAACUUCCAUCAAACAAAUUAUAUAACAACUCCCGAUGUGUUAAAUAUAAAAAUAUUUAAACACCGCUCUUUACAAGUUUAAGGAAGUCCUGAGUUCGAGUCACGCCAGAUUUAUUUAAUUCAAGUCCACAUCAUGUGCCUACAAAAAGUUUCAAACCCAGAUGUGAGGUUGAGAAUUAAAUAUAAAAAUAUUUAAGAGUACAACAUUUAUUUCAUUAAUGUUUAUUCCUUUUUUAUCACAUAUAUCUUAAAUUAAUAUAUCUUAUCUUAACAAAAAUUUGAAAAAUUACGAUUUAGUUUCAACUGCUGACACAGUUAGUAAGAAUAUUUAUUUCCGUCG